GUCUAUGACCAUGCCCCCCCGAACACACCCGAUCUCAUCUGAUCUCGGAAGCUAAGCAGGGUUGAGCCUGGUUAGUACUUGGAUGGGAGACCACCUAGGUACUGUAGGUGUUAAAAAAA
rnacentral:rRNA from 1 species